UUGAAUAAAAUCUUCCGAGUCUUAUAUACCUAAAGGUUUUUCCUAUGGUAUAAGACCAAUGGGUACAUGUAGAAAUGUAUGUGCCUCCCGAAUUGGAAAGGAAUGUGUUUAGCAUGGUU
rnacentral:ncRNA from 2 species